UACGAAGGGUGCAAGCGUUAAUCGGAAUUACUGGGCGUAAAGGGUGCGUAGGCGGUUCGUUAAGUCUGUCGUGAAAUCCCCGGGCUCAACCUGGGAGUGGCGAUGGAUACUGGGCAGCUAGAGUGUGUCAGAGGAUGGUGGAAUUCCCGGUGUAGCGGUGAAAUGCGUAGAGAUCGGGAGGAACAUCAGUGGCGAAGGCGGCCAUCUGGGACAACACUGACGCUGAAGCACGAAAGCGUGGGGAGCAAACAGG
rnacentral:rRNA from 1 species